CUGGUUUGAAAUACCACAACAAUUCUCAAAUCUCUGCACAUGGAGUGAAGGCUGGAACGACAUUUUCGUAGCUGAGGACUGCGGUGUGGCUUGCACUAUUUAGUGCUGCCACACAGAACACGGCAUUGUGACUCCAUUUUUGCACAUCCAACCCUUGCAUUCCCUCUGCUUCCAUAUAACUAAAUCAAAUACUAGUAUAAAACCC
rnacentral:misc_RNA from 1 species